CCUACGGGCGGCAGCAGUGGGGAAUAUUGGACAAUGGGGGGAACCCUGAUCCAGCCAUGCCGCGUGUGUGAAGAAGGCCCUCGGGUUGUAAAGCACUUUCAGUGAGGAAGAACGCCUGGUGGUUAAUACCCAUCAGGAAAGACAUCACUCACAGAAGAAGCACCGGCUAACUCCGUGCCAGCAGCCGCGGUAAUACGGAGGGUGCGAGCGUUAAUCGGAAUUACUGGGCGUAAAGCGCGCGUAGGUGGCUUGAUAAGCCGGUUGUGAAAGCCCCGGGCUCAACCUGGGAACGGCAUCCGGAACUGUCAAGCUAGAGUGCAGGAGAGGAAGGUAGAAUUCCCGGUGUAGCGGUGAAAUGCGUAGAGAUCGGGAGGAAUACCAGUGGCGAAGGCGGCCUUCCGGACUGACACUGACACUGAGGUGCGAAAGCGUGGGUAGCAAACAGGAUUAGAUACCCCGGUAGUC
rnacentral:rRNA from 1 species